GGUCAAGUUGUUAAGGGCAUACGGUGGAUGCCUUGGCAUCAGGAGCCGAUGAAGGACGUGGGAGGCUGCGAUAUGCCUCGGGGAGCUGUCAACCGAGCUGUGAUCCGAGGAUUUCCGAAUGGGGAAACCCGGCACCCGUUAUGGGGUGUCACCCGCACCUGAAUAUAUAGGGUGUGUGGAGGGAACGCGGGGAAGUGAAACAUCUCAGUACCCGUAGGAAGAGAAAACAACCGUGAUUCCGUGAGUAGUGGCGAGCGAAAGCGGAUGAGGCUAAACCUGCUGCGUGUGAUACCUGACAGGGGUUGCGUAGUGGGGGUCGUGGGACCCACUGGGUCGGGCUGUCAACCGACCGGGGAGUCAUAAAAUCAUGUUGCUAGUCGAAUCGGUCUGGAAAGCCGAGCCGUAGAGGGUGAGAGUCCCGUAGGCGAAAGCGCGUGAUCUUCCUUGGUGGUGUUCCCGAGUAGCAGCGAGCUCGUGGAAUUUGCUGUGAAUUUGGCGGGACCACCCGUUAAGCCUAAAUACUUCCUGAUGACCGAUAGCGGACUAGUACCGUGAGGGAAAGGUGAAAAGUACCCCGGGAGGGGAGUGAAAGAGUACCUGAAACCGUGUGCCUACAAGCCGUCAGAGCCUUACGGGGUGAUGGCGUGCCUUUUGAAGAAUGAGCCUGCGAGUUAGUGCUGCGUGGCGAGGUUAACCCGUGUGGGGUAGCCGUAGCGAAAGCGAGUCUGAAUAGGGCGUUGAGUCGCGUGGUCUAGACCCGAAGCGGAGUGAUCUACCCAUGGCCAGGGUGAAGCGCCGGUAAGACGGUGUGGAGGCCCGAACCCACCAGGGUUGAAAACCUGGGGGAUGAGCUGUGGGUAGGGGUGAAAGGCCAAUCAAACUCCGUGAUAGCUGGUUCUCCCCGAAAUGCAUUUAGGUGCAGCGUCGUGUGUUUCUCAUCGGGGGUAGAGCACUGGAUGGUCUAGGGGGCCUACAAGCUUACCAAAAUCAACCAAACUCCGAAUACCGGUGAGUGAGAGCGCGGCAGUGAGACUGUGGGGGAUAAGCUUCAUAGUCGAGAGGGAAACAGCCCAGAACACCAGCUAAGGCCCCUAAGUGUGCGCUAAGUGGGAAAGGAUGUGGGGUCGCCCAGACAACCAGGAGGUUGGCUUAGAAGCAGCCACCCUUGAAAGAGUGCGUAAUAGCUCACUGGUCAAGUGGUCCUGCGCCGACAAUGUAGCGGGGCUUAAGCGUACCGCCGAAGCUGUGUCAUUCGUACAUGUGAUCCAUUUGGUUCUUCGGAGUCUUAUGCAGUCGUGCGGAUGGGUAGGGGAGCGUCCUGUAGCCAUGGAAGCGGCGACGGAAGUCAGCCGUGGAGGCUAUGGGAGUGAGAAUGCAGGCAUGAGUAGCGAAAGCAGAGUGAGAACCUCUGCCGCCGGAUGACCAAGGGUUCCUGGGCCAGGCUAAUCCGCCCAGGGUAAGUCGGGACCUAAGGCGAGGCCGACAGGCGUAGUCGAUGGACAACGGGUUGAUAUUCCCGUACCCGCGUGAACGCGCCCAUGAUGAGGCGGUUGAUGCUAACCACCCAAAGCAGCUUUCUGAACCUUCGGGUGAGGUUUGUUGUGGAGCGUGGGAACCGAUUCCGUAUUAGUCAAGCGAUGGGGUGACGCAGGAAGGUAGUUCCGCCAGUGAGUGGAUUAACUGGUGUAAGCGUGUAGGGUCUGGUGUAGGUAAAUCCGCACUGGGUGUAUCCUGAGACGUGAUGCGUAGCCGAUUGAGGCGAAGUGGAUGAUCCUAUGCUGCCGAGAAAAGCCUCUAGUGAGUGUUCAAGCGGCCCGUACCCUAAACCGACACAGGUGGUCAGGUAGAGAAUACUAAGGCGUUCGGGUGAACUGUGGUUAAGGAACUCGGCAAAAUGCCCCCGUAACUUCGGGAGAAGGGGGGCCGUGUGGCGUGAAGGGACUUGCUCCUGGAGCGUUGUGUGGCCGCAGAGACCAGCGAGAAGCGACUGUUUACUAAAAACACAGGUCCGUGCGAAGUCGUAAGACGAUGUAUACGGACUGACGCCUGCCCGGUGCUGGAACGUUAAGAGGACGGGUUAGUCACGUGAGUGGCGAAGCUCAGAAUUUAAGCGCCAGUAAACGGCGGUGGUAACUAUAACCAUCCUAAGGUAGCGAAAUUCCUUGUCGGGUAAGUUCCGACCUGCACGAAUGGCGUAACGACUUCUCGGCUGUCUCAACCACAGGCCCGGUGAAAUUGCACUACGAGUAAAGAUGCUCGUUACGCGCGGCAGGACGGAAAGACCCCGGGACCUUUACUAUAGCUUGGUAUUGGUGCUCGGUUCGGCUUGUGUAGGAUAGGUGGGAGACUGUGAAGCUCUGACGCUAGUUAGGGUGGAGUCAUUGUUGAAAUACCACUCUGGUCGAAUUGGGUGUCUAACCUCGGACCAUGAUCUGGUUCAGGGACAGUGCCUGGUGGGUAGUUUAACUGGGGCGGUUGCCUCCCAAAGAGUAACGGAGGCGCUCAAAGGUUCCCUCAGCCUGGUUGGCAAUCAGGUGUUGAGUGCAAGUGCACAAGGGGGCUUGACUGUGAGACUGACGGGUCGAGCAGGGACGAAAGUCGGAACUAGUGAUCCGGCCAUGGCUUGUGGAAGCGUGGUCGCUCAACGGAUAAAAGGUACCCCGGGGAUAACAGGCUGAUCUUGCCCAAGAGUCCAUAUCGACGGCAUGGUUUGGCACCUCGAUGUCGGCUCGUCGCAUCCUGGGGCCGGAGUAGGUCCCAAGGGUUGGGCUGUUCGCCCAUUAAAGCGGUACGCGAGCUGGGUUUAGAACGUCGUGAGACAGUUCGGUCCCUAUCCGCCGCGCGCGUAGGAGACUUGAGGAAGGCUGUCCCUAGUACGAGAGGACCGGGACGGACGAACCUCUGGUGUGCCAGUUGUUCUGCCAAGGGCAUGGCUGGUUGGCUACGUUCGGAAGGGAUAACCGCUGAAGGCAUCUAAGCGGGAAGCUCGUUCCAAGAUGAGGUCUCCCACCCCUUUGUGGGUUAAGGCUCCCAGCUAGACGACUGGGUUGAUAGGCCAGAGAUGGAAGCACGGUAACGUGUGGAGUUGACUGGUACUAAUAGGCCGAGGACUUGCUCAC
rfam:Kibdelosporangium phytohabitans strain KLBMP1111, complete genome.